rnacentral:rRNA from 1 species
UAGGGAAUCUUCGGCAAUGGACGGAAGUCUGACCGAGCAACGCCGCGUGAGUGAAGAAGGUUUUCGGAUCGUAAAGCUCUGUUGUAAGAGAAGAACGAGUGUGAGAGUGGAAAGUUCACACUGUGACGGUAUCUUACCAGAAAGGGACGGCUAACUACGUGCCAGCAGCCGCGGUAAUACGUAGGUCCCGAGCGUUGUCCGGAUUUAUUGGGCGUAAAGCGAGCGCAGGCGGUUAGAUAAGUCUGAAGUUAAAGGCUGUGGCUUAACCAUAGUAGGCUUUGGAAACUGUUUAACUUGAGUGCAAGAGGGGAGAGUGGAAUUCCAUGUGUAGCGGUGAAAUGCGUAGAUAUAUGGAGGAACACCGGUGGCGAAAGCGGCUCUCUGGCUUGUAACUGACGCUGAGGCUCGAAAGCGUGGGGAGCAAACAGGAUUAGAUACCCUGGUAGUCCACGCUGUAAACGAUGAGUGCUAGGUGUUAGACCCUUUCCGGGGUUUAGUGCCGUAGCUAACGCAUUAAGCGCUCCGCCUGGGGAGUACGACCGCAAGGUUG